AGGAGCAUGAGUCAGCUCAAAGCCGAGGGCAUUGCAGUUAGGAAUGCAGAGCAAGCAAGCUCCUUGGGUCUUGCCUUUUUCUCUGCUUCAGAUUUGCAGGUAUAGAACAGCAGCAUUUUUUUUUUAACCGAAAAAGACUCUGGAAUUUGGCAGACAAAAUCUAUAGAGAUUGAUGGCCCUUUUAAGCUGGGAACCUAAUUAAUUGACGAAGAUGAUGAAUGUGGCUGAGAGUUCUGCUCUGCCGAACCCGGGCUCACUGUGCAUACCCAGAUCAGAUCAUCUUCAUCAAGGCAUCAACUCAUCUGCCAGUGAAAAGAAGAUUGCCCCAGCACUUGCUGAUUCACAAGGACCUUCAGCUCCAGAUUUGAACUGUGGAGACAUCCAACUCUAUGGGCUGAGCAGCUAUCGGUUUCUCAACCCCUCCAGCAUCUAGGCAAACACUGUCGGAUAACCCAGGUCAUCUACGAUUUGGUCUACCUAAGCCAACCUUAUCUGAGUGCAAAAUAGGAAGGAAGGAGUGAACAAAUACGGAACUGUCCUCAAAGGCCAUAUGUAGAACAUUGUCACUACUGAUGAUUAGUGUCCUGAAUCCAGAAACUACUCAGGGUGUUUCUUAUAAAAGUAUCUUCAUCUCUCCCUCACCAUGGCUCAACUUGCCAUAUGAUACCAAGAGUCCUAGAUGACAGAUUCAUUUCCAGAGACACAACACUGGAGGCAUCUUACAAACGAAAAGCAGUUGCACUUUAGCUUUUCUACUUCUGUGCUCAAAUCCAAAAAUAUCCUCAUAGGCUCAUGUUUGGAAGUUAAUUGUACCACUGAGCAGCAGCCUCCAGUUAAAUUAAGAAAAUUCUUGGAGGACCGUUGGGCUACCAGAUCAUGUUUCCCAGCAGGUGGCGCUGUUCUGAGACACUGUGCCGCUUUAGCGGGUGGGGUCCAGGCUGGCAGAAGUUGGAAAGCAGAACUGGGACUUGGAAAGGGUUGUUCCUCUUUCGCAACUGGCUUCUUCGUCAACCAUGAUGUAAACAGCCUCCACUACAUUCUCCAGCUGCCCUGAACUGUGUAGUCCUGAAUUCUUCAUGAUGGAGUGAACUCUGAAAGUACAAACUGAUACACAUCUUUAAUCCUUGUUUCUGUCUGCCAUUGUGGUCAUCGAACACUAAUGUAUCUAGGUAUAGCUACAUUGCUGUCAAUUGCAUGAAAUUAGUCAAACUGUCUCUCUCAGUCAGAGGCCUAUGUUUUGUCAGUUAACAAUGGGAAAGCGCAGGAACAUGCAGACUGUCAGCAACCUGUCAUUCCUUGAUUCCAGGCUCCAUCAAUCUCUUUUACAUCUUUGCUGUCAAAUUUCAGAGAUGUAAAACUGUGGGAAGUUUCUUUAUAGAGCUGAGAUUUAUUUCAUUUUCCUUCAUUUUUAAAAUGGUCACAAGUUACCAAUUUUAAAGGAACCAAUGAAAGAAUAUGAAAUAAAAUAUGAAAAUAAAACCUAAUAC
rnacentral:lncRNA from 1 species